UGGAAUUGCUCCAAUAACAAUAAUGCUUUCUCCAUUUUAUAGCUUGUGAGUUUUUAUUUUCUUAAACUAUGUAACGUUAAUGUUAAAUUUAUUUUUAUAAAGUAUAGUAGUAGUAUAGUAGCGUUAUGUGUGAAUGAAUUGUAGCUAAUUUUUUUUACAUGGUUUUCCCAUUUGGGUUUGGUUGGAAUCUAGGAAGUGGGGGAAGCUAAUUUACGAAUAUUUGGGUGAUUAUGCUUUGUAAUCUUACUAUUCUCAGCUUAGUUGUUAAUGGAAAACUUCACCAUCAGAUGAGUUUCAUCAUUCUUCAACCACUUUUUAAUCCUUAUUAAUACUAAGAUCUUUAGCAUAAGAUAACAGAUAUUAUGUAUGAAGGGGAUAGAAACUAAAAACCUAUGAAACACAUACUACUCUAGUAUUAGCAUGUGCUACCAAAUGACACUUAUACGACACACAUAUUAAAAAUAUUAAAUAUAUGUCUGAAAAAUCAGACAAGUACUUUUAUUAUUUGCUUCGACAUUUUAAAUCAGACAUUCAUAUUAUAUUGAUAAUAAGCAAGUGUUUAAAAAAAAUAUUUUUUUCUUUGUAUUACCACACUUUUAUGAUUUUUGUAAACAAAUGUCACACAUCUAAAAGAAAAAGUUAAAGUAUAAUAAAAUAAUCUUAUUAACUACAUUGAUUUUGAUUAAAAUAUUUAUAAUAUUUUUAAAUAUUAGAAUUAAUGAAAUUCAAAUACUAUCUUAGAUUUUGUUUGAAUAGUGGAAUAGGAUGAAAUGGAAUGAUAUUACAUUAUUUAAAUCAUUUAAAAUCGGAUGGAGUGAUAUGAAUUCUAUUUCUUUCUCUAUCAUUUGGACAGAAUGAACAACCUUCAUUGUUUGGCUCCAUUCUACUCAGUUUGCCUUGUUCCAUCCUAUGGAUUUCAAAAUGAAAUUUUUAUUCUGCGCUAUUUGUUUUAGGAUAUUCAAACAUAAUCUUUUAGGAUAUCCAAGCUUAAUCUUAUGGGUAUUAAUGGUAUGAGAUGAAAUUGUGUACUCCAAUAAUUUGAAAUUUUAUUAUUUGAAUUUGUAAAUAAUUUGAAUUUACAAAUAAUGAAUGAAAUAAAAUUGAACAUGAUGGAAAUCUUUCUAUUCAAUUUUUUUUUUCUUUCAAUUUGAAAUUUGAAAUUUAUGUGAUGGAAUGAAAUAUUUUUAAUAAAAUAAUUAAAUAAUAGAAUGUGAUCUAUAUUUGAUUUCCCUAUUCCAUUCCAUUGUAUUCUAGUGUCCGUCGUGUUUUAUAAUUAAAAUAUUAUCCGAAAUUGGUUCUAUAUUGGAGUACACUAGUGGUAAGAUAUUUACAGAAUAUUUUACCUAACUAUUUCCUUGUAAUCUGAAUAGCCGCACAGGGGGGAUAGAUGAUAAUCAACUGAUCUGGGUAAAAGAUUAUGUAAUACAGUACUAGUAGUGUGUUGGGAUUCUCUGCUUCUGUUGCAAACUUGUUUUCUAUUCUAAACUAGGGUUAUGCAGUGUUGUUAACUAGCAGUUAUAGCAGGCGUUGCAAUUGACAACAUUGGAGAAAUGCUGAGGAAAAAGUUGUAAAAUGAGAUGAUCCAAUUUUCAGUAGUUGUAGUUCAAGUUUAACAGGUAAAAGACAAUGAAUGCGUGAUCUUGCGCAUGUUUCCAAGAUUUCUAGUUAAUGUGGGAUGAGGAUUGGGAAAAGUGAUAGAAUCGUGAUAGUAUGAGGAUUGGGAAAAGUGAUAGAAUCGUGAUAGUUACUCCUAACCCUUUUCACUAAGAAUCGUGAUAGUAUGAGGAUUGGGAAAAGUGAUAGAAUCGUGAUAGUAUGAGGAUUGGGAAAAGUGAUUCUGACAACCUUAUCUAUAUGGGAAGACCACCACCACAUUGGAAAACGUUAUUACUAUUGCCUAUUGCUAUUGGUAGUCAUUGUUGUGCCAACUUCUAAAAGACAAGAAAAACUAUGAGACUUACUAUUUACUACUCGCUCUGUCCUUUUUAAUGCUUUCUUUUCCUAUUUUUGUUUUUUAUCUAACAUUCUCAAUUACUUUUUCCCUUUACUUCCUCCGUUUCUUUUUAAAUAUUUAUUUUUUAAAAAAACAUUUUUUUAAUUAUUACUUGCAAAGUUUAAG
rnacentral:lncRNA from 1 species